GCCUAACACAUGCAAGUCGAGCGGAAACGAGUUAUCUGAACCUUCGGGGAACGAUAACGGCGUCGAGCGGCGGACGGGUGAGUAAUGCCUAGGAAAUUGCCCUGAUGUGGGGGAUAACCAUUGGAAACGAUGGCUAAUACCGCAUAAUGCCUACGGGCCAAAGAGGGGGACCUUCGGGCCUCUCGCGUCAGGAUAUGCCUAGGUGGGAUUAGCUAGUUGGUGAGGUAAUGGCUCACCAAGGCGACGAUCCCUAGCUGGUCUGAGAGGAUGAUCAGCCACACUGGAACUGAGACACGGUCCAGACUCCUACGGGAGGCAGCAGUGGGGAAUAUUGCACAAUGGGCGCAAGCCUGAUGCAGCCAUGCCGCGUGUGUGAAGAAGGCCUUCGGGUUGUAAAGCACUUUCAGUCGUGAGGAAGGUAGUGUAGUNAAUAGCUGCAUUAUUUGACGUUAGCGACAGAAGAAGCACCG
rnacentral:rRNA from 1 species